rnacentral:rRNA from 1 species
UACGGAGGGCGCGAGCGUUAAUCGGAAUUACUGGGCGUAAAGCGCGCGUAGGCUGUUGUGUAAGUUGGGGGUGAAAUCCCACGGCUCAACCGUGGAACAGCCCUUGAUACCGCGCGACUUGAAUCCGGGAGAGGGUGGCGGAAUUCCAGGUGUAGGAGUGAAAUCCGUAGAUAUCUGGAGGAACAUCAGUGGCGAAGGCGGCCACCUGGACCGGUAUUGACGCUGAGGCGCGAAAGCGUGGGGAGCAAACAGG